CAGCCGCCGCGGUAAUACGUAGGGUGCGAGCGUUAAUCGGAAUUACUGGGCGUAAAGCGUGCGCAGGCGGUUUGUUAAGACAGAUGUGAAAUCCCCGGGCUCAACCUGGGAACUGCAUUUGUGACUGGCAAGCUAGAGUCUGGCAGAGGGGGGUGGAAUUCCGCGUGUAGCAGUGAAAUGCGUAGAUAUGCGGAGGAACACCGAUGGCGAAGGCAGCCCCCUGGGCCAACACUGACGCUCAUGCACGAAAGCGUGGGGAGCAAACAGGAUUAGAUACCCCGGUAGUCCCUGUCUCUUAUAC
rnacentral:rRNA from 1 species